UACCGAAAGCGGCUGGCACCCGUCACAACUGCCAYAUCUCGGAUCCUCGGAUUCGCAGAACCCCGUGAAAAGAAAGUGCAUUAACUUGUUAUGCGAUGUUGGGCGAGAGGCGUCUCGCCGGACGCCCGCGGCCCUUCGGGGUCCCAGGGGCUUCCGAUCAAAGCGSGSACCCCAUUUUCAACCACACCAAACUCYGAAUCWGAACUCAAAAGGGAGACYSGCCCCAGGCCGGUCGACCUC
rnacentral:rRNA from 1 species